UUAGGACGGAAGUUAACAUAAAAAGCCACGGAUAUAUCGAUUCGUAAUGCCUCGACAAAAACGAGAAAAUGUCGAUAGUUAUCCUGUGUUCAUCAAGUCUGAAUGUGUACACACGUUAACACGGAGCCACAGCUACCAGCAUUAGCUAACUUAUCUGACGUUACAGGUACUGGUGGCAAAUGGCAACUCAGCGUCUGCAAGUUAGCAAUGGCUUCUCGGAAGUUUAUGGAUCACGUUGCUGCAACUAAAACAGACGAACAGGAGGAGAAAUAUUUCUGGCCAGUGAUGGACAUACUUUGCCUACAAAACUAUACAUUUUCAACGGCUGGCGACGAAUGAUGAGGCUUUUGUAAUCCCUUGUGUGGCAGUUGGAGUCGAGAGUUGGCAAGUUGGUCGAGUUCCUUUCACAGACUGGAAACAUGCUUUAGAGACAUUCAAAAACCCAUCCAUCAAAACCCACAUCUUAUCACAACUAGGCAUGUCUCAAAGGUAACCAUUUCAAAAAUUAAAGACUUUCUCUGAUGCAAGAUUCAGGAAAAAGCCGAAGAAAACAGCAACUUUGAUUUUCGCUGCCUCCAACAAAUCGCCUCAAAGGGUUAAACUGAUAAGGGGCCAGAGGCAUUCAGCAAACAUGGUGACGGGAACUUCAUUGCCUUACUCAGGUUGAGAGCUGCACCUGGUGACAGUAAAUGUGCAAAUGACGCCAGCUGCAUUCCCGAAAAGCAAAACAAAAAAGUCCUGGGUUGGAUAUUACAGCCAGCAAAAUGGUCAACAAUCAUAAAACAACACCCGGCAAAAGCUUAGUUAGUGCACGAUUUAACUUUGCUACAAUCAAAAGAACGUCACAGCAAACGGUUGUAUGACCUCAAAUGCCAGCAUGAUGGAGAACUGAUCUGAAAUGCCACAUCUGAGAGGAAGAAAGAGUGGACUGGCACUUACUCUCAGACGACAGAGACGCUUUGUUGACGUCAUAAGAGGUCGUGGAUGUGUGGAAAAAGACGAAUGGACCAGGGCAUUACGAGCUGAAGAAAAUGAUGUUGCCUAUCAUCUGUGUAUACCACCAUCUAGAGACAAGGUCGACGGGCAGACAGAUCAAGGAGUUCCUUCAAACGUUUCUCUCAUUUUUGCUGAUAUUAUCAUACACAUUCCUCUCACUACUUAGCAAAGCACUCAAUCCUUGACAAGGUCUGGCUGCCAAUUAAGAUUACUGUCUUGAUCUGUCUCACUAUUUCUCUCUCUGCCCUAGAUGAUUGACACUGGCUUUUCCUCUGUUACUUUUUGGCCAUAGUAAACCUUAAAUUCAUAAUAAUCCUGAAGGAAUGAGUGGCAUUCUCUGUAUCAGGCCAUGCCAGC
rnacentral:lncRNA from 1 species